GACGAACGCUGGCGGCGUGCCUAAAUACAUGCAAGUCGUGCGAAUAACGGAGGUGCUUGCACCUCCCGAGUUAGCGGCGGAUGGGUGAGUAACGCGUGGGCAACCUGCCCUGCAGAUGGGGGAUAACUCCGGGAAACCGGAGCUAACUACCGAAUAAUCCUACACUUCACAUGAAGCGUAGUUAAAGACGGUUUCGGCUGUCACUGCAGGGAUGGGCCCGCGGCGCAUUAGCUCGUUGGUGAGGUAAAGGCUCACCUAAGGCCACGAUGCGUAGCCGACUGAGAGGGUNAUCGGCCACACUGGGACUGAGACACGGCCCAGACUCCUAC
rnacentral:rRNA from 1 species